GCCGGCCGACCAGCCAGCGCCGUGCGCCACGGCACGCGCCGGCGCGCGCGCGGCUGCCGAUCCGGUGCGCGCGGCGGCGCACGCGGGCGCGCCAAAAAAGUGGCCUGGUCCUGGGUCGUUUUAUGUCCACGCGUUGCAUUUGUGGGGAUCCGGCUUCGGGUAGGUGUGGGAAGGAUAGAACCGUCGAGCUCCGCCGGCGCGCCCGGCGUCCUGUUGCCCUCGCGAGCCCCCGCCGGGCGCUGCGGCGGGCGGCACGUGCCUUUAGGGGUCGCCCGGUGGCCCCCGGCGGCGUGCGCACGCGUGGCACGUGCGCCACAGCCGUGCCGCGCGGCGCCGUGCGCCGCGGCACGCGCCGGCGCGCGCGCGGCUGCCGAUCCGGUGCGCGCGGCGGCGCACGCGGGCGCGCCAAAAAAGUGGCCUGGUCCUGGGUCGUUUUAUGUCCACGCGUUGCAUUUGUGGGGAUCCGGCUUCGGGUAGGUGUGGGAAGGAUAGAACCGUCGAGCUCCGCCGGCGCGCCCGGCGUCCUGUUGCCCUCGCGAGCCCCCGCCGGGCGCUGCGGCGGGCGGCACGUGCCUUUAGGGGUCGCCCGGUGGCCCCCGGCGGCGUGCGCACGCGUGGCACGUGCGCCACAGCCGUGCCGCGCGGCGCCGUGCGCCGCGGCACGCGCCGGCGCGCGCGCGGCUGCCGAUCCGGUGCGCGCGGCGGCGCACGCGGGCGCGCCAAAAAAGUGGCCUGGUCCUGGGUCGUUUUAUGUCCACGCGUUGCAUUUGUGGGGAUCCGGCUUCGGGUAGGUGUGGGAAGGAUAGAACCGUCGAGCUCCGCCGGCGCGCCCGGCGUCCUGUUGCCCUCGCGAGCCCCCGCCGGGCGCUGCGGCGGGCGGCACGUGCCUUUAGGGGUCGCCCGGUGGCCCCCGGCGGCGUGCGCACGCGUGGCACGUGCGCCACAGCCGUGCCGCGCGGCGCCGUGCGCCGCGGCACGCGCCGGCGCGCGCGCGGCUGCCGAUCCGGUGCGCGCGGCGGCGCACGCGGGCGCGCCAAAAAAGUGGCCUGGUCCUGGGUCGUUUUAUGUCCACGCGUUGCAUUUGUGGGGAUCCGGCUUCGGGUAGGUGUGGGAAGGAUAGAACCGUCGAGCUCCGCCGGCGCGCCCGGCGUCCUGUUGCCCUCGCGAGCCCCCGCCGGGCGCUGCGGCGGGCGGCACGUGCCUUUAGGGGUCGCCCGGUGGCCCCCGGCGGCGUGCGCACGCGUGGCACGUGCGCCACAGCCGUGCCGCGCGGCGCCGUGCGCCGCGGCACGCGCCGGCGCGCGCGCGGCUGCCGAUCCGGUGCGCGCGGCGGCGCACGCGGGCGCGCCAAAAAAGUGGCCUGGUCCUGGGUCGUUUUAUGUCCACGCGUUGCAUUUGUGGGGAUCCGGCUUCGGGUAGGUGUGGGAAGGAUAGAACCGUCGAGCUCCGCCGGCGCGCCCGGCGUCCUGUUGCCCUCGCGAGCCCCCGCCGGGCGCUGCGGCGGGCGGCACGUGCCUUUAGGGGUCGCCCGGUGGCCCCGUCGGCGUGCGCACGUGCGCACGUGCGCCGCGGCACGUGCCGGCGCGCUUGGCGGCCGAGCCGGUGCGCGCGGCGGCGCACGCGGGCGUGCCCAAAAAGUGGCCUGGUCCUGGGUCGUUUUAUGUCCACGCGUUGCAUUUGUGGGGAUCCGGCUUCGGGUUGGUGUGGGAAGGAUAGAACCGUCGGGCUCCGCCGGCGCGCCCGGCGUCCUGUUGCCUUCGCGAGCCCCCGCCGGGCGCUGUGGCGGGCGGCACGUGCCUUUAGGGUCGCCCGGUGGCCCCCGUGGGCGUGCCCAAAAAGUGGCCUGGUCCUGGGUCGUUUUAUGUCCACGCGUUGCAUUUGUGGGGAUCCAGCUCUGGGUACCUGUGGGAACCGGGAAACCCUCGAGACGCUCGUAGUUCCGCGCACGGCGUCCCGCCGCGUCCCCGGCCGUCCGCUGACCCCCCGUCCGGCGUCGACGGGCCCCUCGGGGCCUCCGACGCACGGUCGCGCGCGGGCGCGGCGCCGGGUCGCCUCGGGCACGUGACGGCGCGUGAGUAGUGGUCUGCGCGUUGCGCCUGCGGCCUCCCCUGCCCGAGUGCAGCCGACCGCGGGCGCGGGUCGCGUCUCGUUCGUCCCCCGGAUGCCGGAGGGCUCGCCCCCUCGUGGUCUGUACCGCCUAGCCGGAAUGCGGCAACCUCGGAACCCCGACGACUGGGCGCCGGCUCUCCCCCUCCCCCAGCGGGCGGGCGAGAGGCGGCCGGUCGCGGCCCCCCGUGCGUCCCCCGACUCGCCCAGCGCGUGU